rnacentral:rRNA from 1 species
UACGGAGGGGGCUAGCGUUGUUCGGAUUGACUGGGCGUAAAGGGCGUGUAGGCGGUUGGUCAAGUCUGAUGUGAAAGCCCGGGGCUCAGCCCCGGAAGGGCAUCGGAAACUAGCCAGCUGGAGCGCGAUAGAGGAGGGUGGAAUUCCUGGUGUAGCGGUGAAAUGCGUAGAUAUCAGGAGGAACACCGGCGGCGAAGGCGGCCCUCUGGAUCGUUGCUGACGCUGAGACGCGAAAGCGUGGGGAGCAAACAGG